AAAGAAAUAUUUUUCGAUGGUGUGAUCUUCUCCAUUGGCUAAAAAAAUUAAAAAUCCCGACAAACACUUCCUGCCGCCACGUCCGAAAAUCUCUCCCAAUAAACAGCUGCAACUGCCAUAUGGCUUUUCUUUCUUUGAGAAAGCAGAGUAAAUGAACUGCCGCUACUUACAGUCAUGCACACCCUUUGGCUUCUUGAGCACAGCCGCAUCGCUGCAAUUUUGUACACGGUGGUUCCGAGACAGACGAAUGAGUUUUACUUUCAACAUGCCCGGCGAAUUGUUAUUGCUGAAAUGCAACACAUAAUUUACAAUGAAUACUUGCCCGUCAUAAUUGUUCCUAUGAUGGCUGCCAAAGUUGCGUUGGGAAAUGGCUAUUUAAAUACUGGAAAUCCGGCGAUAUUUACCGAGAUCUUCAUUGCCGCCUUCCGCAAGGGCCACUCUCAAUUGAAAAGCUUCAUACGACUGUUUGAGAGAGACGGAAGUUUCAGCAGAGAUAGUAACCAACUUAUCAGCUCUCAGAUUCGUUCGAUAACUCCUCCCGGCUUUUUGGAUCCAAUUUCGUGGAUAAGGCUCUUCGGGGCCUCCUUCAUGUACCUGCCGAAGAAGUGGACAGCUCUUUUGCUUUCGACAUCACAAGUCAACUUGUUAAGCCAAAAGGAGUACACUUGGACUGGAUCUGACAGCUCUCAACAUUCAACGAGGAAGAGAUCAACGGCCUGCCAACAUACGCUAAAAUGCUGGCUUUCUUCGGAAAACCUUUGCCGUCUAGUUUCGACCAACUGCUUUCUUAUAUACCAAUCGAAGUCGUCAACGCUAUGAAGUUCGUGUACGAGUCAGUGUACGACAUUGACCUGUUUAUUGGCGGAGUGACCAAAUAGGCGAAUACCCAAUAACCGACGCUGUGCUCGGCCCCACAUUCGCCGAUAUCUUCGCCUUUCAAUUUUCGAAUCUGAGGCGGAGUGAUCGUUUCUUUUACAAAUUCAAUGUCGAUCAACCCACCAGCUUCAGAUCAGGUCAACUGGCAGAAAUUCAAAAAGUCUCUUUGGCGCGCAUUAUAUGUGACAAAAGCGAUGUCAUCCAACCCAAAGCUUUCCGCACUCCCCACGAGAUUCAAUUAAUAUUUGGAUUUUGGAUGAUGUUCGAGCUGUCUGAAAAAGUAAAAAUCUGUCUCCCUGUCUGUCUGGAACGGGAAGCAGUCCAGCCCAGUCCUGCCGUUCAUUAUGCUGCGAGUAAUCUGUCGACUGUCACUAGGUGGCUAAAACCUAAAAUUAUGUCCACCAGAUGGCGAUGAGUCCAUCGGUUAGCGAGUGACAAUUGUCGCCAUUUUCUCCCGAGACGAAGAGCGAGUGUGAUUCUGAAUGGAAAUCGUUGUGAUGUACGGCAAAUUGAAAAGCCUAGUAUUUCUAUUUCGCUUGGAGCAGCUAUGGUACAUUUUUCCCAAAUGUUGUUAAUGAUGUCUUUUCCCUGUACGGUCCCUGCACCUGCUGCACGUUUUGGUCAAAAAAACUUCAGAACAAUUAAAGCUAACAGCCUGCAAAAGUCUGAGCUCCUUUGUUGCUGCCCCUUAUGCACACAGGUAUUUGAUGCAGCCAGCUGGUUAAGGAAUGUUCCUCUUGCUACUUGUACCUGUAGUCCUGUACUGCUUUUUGAACAUAGUUUCUAGUUCUUUUAACUAUGUUGGUACGACCAACAAUUGUGUAGCUUUUUAUUUGCAGAAAUUUUCUGAAUCAAUAAUAAAAUAAGAUAAGGUUAA